GGCGUGCCUAACACAUGCAAGUCAAGGGGAAAGUUCGACUUCGGUUGAGUGAGUAUACUGGCGGACGGGUGAGUAACGCGUAGGCAACCUGCCCUAGGGAGAGGGAUAACCCAGCGAAAGUUGGACUAAUACCUUAUAACGCAUUUUAUUCGCAUGGAUAGAUUGUUAAAGUUUGCAACUUGUUGCACACACCUUGGGAUGGGCCUGCGUUCCAUUAGUUAGUUGGUAAGGUAACGGCUUACCAAGGCGACGAUGGAUAGCUGGUUUGAGAGAGUGAUCAGCCACACUGGGACCGAGAUACGGCCCAGACUCCUACGGGAGGCAGCAGUGAGGAAUAUUGCGCAAUGGGCGAAAGCCUGACGCAGCAACGCCGCGUGGGGGAUGAAGUUCUAUGGAGCGUAAACCCCUGUAAGUGGGGACGAAGGAUAGAUAUUCGAAUAGGGUGUUUAUUUGACGGUACCCGCAGAGUAAGCUCCGGCUAACUCCGUGCCAGCAGCCGCGGUAAUACGGGGGGAGCAAGCGUUGUCCGGAAUUACUGGGCGUAAAGGGCGUGUAGGCGGUUUGGUAAGUCAGAUGUAAAAGGUCCCGGCUUAACCGGGGAUUGUCAUUUGAAACUGCCAGGCUUGAGUUCGAGAGAGGGUAGCGGAAUUCCCAGUGUAGCGGUGAAAUGCGUAGAUAUUGGGAAGAACACCAGUAGCGAAGGCGGCUACCUGGCUCGCAACUGACGCUAAGGCGCGAAAGCGUGGG
rnacentral:rRNA from 1 species